rnacentral:rRNA from 1 species
UACGUAGGGGGCUAGCGUUGUCCGGAAUCAUUGGGCGUAAAGAGCGUGUAGGCGGUCCGGUAAGUCCGCUGUGAAAGUCGGGGGCUCAACCCUCGAAUGCCGGUGGAUACUGUCGGGCUAGAGUACGGAAGAGGCGAGUGGAAUUCCUGGUGUAGCGGUGAAAUGCGCAGAUAUCAGGAGGAACACCUAUUGCGAAGGCAGCUCGCUGGGACGUGACUGACGCUGAGACGCGAAAGCGUGGGGAGCAAACAGG